rnacentral:tRNA from 1 species
GCUUAUAGCUCACUGGUAGAGUGCUUGCCUAUUGCCUAUCAAGUGCAAAGCCUGGGUUCAAUCCCUAGCACAGCA